rnacentral:lncRNA from 1 species
AUUGAAUCCGAACGCUGUUCUGAAGUGAGUCCUUGGGUUUGCAUUUGCAGAGCCCACCGUGUAGCGCCUUCCCGACCUGUUAUGGUGAAUGGUAACAAGGCGGCGGCGGCCGAGUAGCCGUCAGCAGCGGGAUCAAAACGCGUGGACUGAUCACCACCGCUGGAUUUAUAAGCCAGUAGGAAACGGGUCCUGUUUUUUUCCGUUUAUAAAACACUCCGCCAACGGCGACUAUAGCUAUCUUCCCUGUAUGCUUUUAGUCACAAGCACGGGAGAGCCACUUCUUACACGUGCGUUUCCACUUAAUAUCGCGUGUGAGUACCCCGUGUCGUGGGCUCCAAGGCAGCGGAAGGCUGACACCCCCUCGCGUUACACUUCCCAGUGACUACACAGGUCAUCUGGCCCUUUUCCUCGCUGUGGAAACCGUGGACUAUUCAUCCCCCUGCCCCUCCUGGUGAUGUAGUUGGUGAGCAAUAUUUGGUCGAAUUUUACCGUGCUGUUCACUCGCACGAGCAUAUGGCUUGGCCGUGACUCCGCAAGGUUAAUUCAUCUGGACUAUGAAACUUAUUCGAUGAACAUAACAACAUAGCAGAUUAAGUUAUAUUACGCUCAAACAUUACACUGGAUUUUUUACGGGGUAGGACUAUCAAGCCUCUUCUUCCCAAUAGAUUUCACGGAAAACCAAAAAUUAGCAACUGUAACCGCUUUUCCGUUCGUGGCACCCCCAAUAGAAAACUCCACAAAGACAUGCAACAAACUGUGGAUCUACCGGCCAUGAGACAUUCCAGUGCUACUGGUUUGUGAAGAAAACUUCGAUCAAGUGUCAAUCGUUGAAUCUCUUGAACCAUGCAGACACAAGACGACAGCAGCAGAACUACUAGCCCAGUGAGACUAUGCUUUUUCACAUGGAUCUGCACAUGAUAGCCUACAAGUGAUUCAUCACAGUUUAGUCUGUCAAUUGCAAGCGACU